UAUGAGCAGGCGCUAAACCUGGUUUAGGUAUUUAGGCAGCGCGCGGCCCGGCUCGUAACUCCUCCUGCUGCAGCAGGCGUAUCGUUGGCCUCGCCUCGACCCCGGAAGUGACUUCUGGAAGUGACCCAGGAAGUGACAUACUCUGAGCAGCUACAAAAAGAAGACCAGUCUAUCCUGCUGGAGACAGUGGCCACGUGAAGAAAGAGCUCUUGCAGUAUGAAAGACCACAUGGAAAGAGAGGCCACAUGGAACCAACAGUCAGCAUCUUGGUUUCGGACACGUGAAGAAAUUCAUCUCAGACUGUGUAUCCUAAAUCAGGCACUUGCUGAAUCUAACUACAUGAGUGAGACCAGUUGACAACACAUGGAGCAGACAUGAGCUGUUCUCAGUGAGUCCUACACAAAUUCCUGACUCACAACACUGUGAGCAAUAAAAUGGUUGUUAUUUUAAGCCACUGAA
rnacentral:lncRNA from 1 species